rnacentral:rRNA from 1 species
CACGUAGGGCGCGAGCGUUGUCCGGAAUUAUUGGGCGUAAAGAGCUCGUAGGCGGCCUGUUGCGUCCGCUGUGAAAGCCCCGGGGCUUAACCCCGGGUCUGCAGUGGAUACGGGCAGGCUAGAGGUAGGUAGGGGAGAAUGGAAUUCCCGGUGUAGCGGUGAAAUGCGCAGAUAUCGGGAGGAACACCGGUGGCGAAGGCGGUUCUCUGGGCCUUACCUGACGCUGAGGAGCGAAAGCGUGGGAGCGAACAGG